rnacentral:rRNA from 1 species
GUGAACGCUGGCGGUAGGCCUAACACAUGCAAGUCGAACGGCAGCACAGAGGAGCUUGCUCCUUGGGUGGCGAGUGGCGGACGGGUGAGGAAUACAUCGGAAUCUACUCUUUCGUGGGGGAUAACGUAGGGAAACUUACGCUAAUACCGCAUACGACCUUCGGGUGAAAGCAGGGGAUCGCAAGACCUUGCGCGAUUGAAUGAGCCGAUGUCGGAUUAGCUAGUUGGCGGGGUAAAGGCCCACCAAGGCGACGAUCCGUAGCUGGUCUGAGAGGAUGGUCAGCCACACUGGAACUGAGACACGGUCCAGACUCCUACGGGAGGCAGCAGUGGGGAAUAUUGGACAAUGGGCGCAAGCCUGAUCCAGCCAUACCGCGUGGGUGAAGAAGGCCUUCGGGUUGUAAAGCCCUUUUGUUGGGAAAGAAAAGCACACGGUUAAUACCCGAGUGUUCUGACGGUACCCAAAGAAUAAGCAUCGGCUAACUACGUGCCAGCAGCCGCGGUAAUAC